rnacentral:rRNA from 1 species
GAUGAACGCUGGCGGCGUGCCUAAUACAUGCCAGUCGAGCGAACGGACGAGAAGCUUGCUUCUCUGAUGUUAGCGGCGGACGGGUGAGUAACACGUGGAUAACCUACCUAUAAGACUGGGAUAACUUCGGGAAACCGGAGCUAAUACCGGAUGAUAUUUUGAACCGCAUGGUUCAAAAGUGAAAGACGGUCUUGCUGUCACUUAUAGAUGGAUCCGCGCUGUAUUAGCUAGUUGGUAAGGUAACGGCUUACCAAGGCAACGAUGCAUAGCCGACCUGAGAGGGUGAUCGGCCACACUGGAACUGAGACACGGUCCAGACUCCUACGGGAGGCAGCAGUAGGGAAUCUUCCGCAAUGGGCGAAAGCCUGACGGAGCAACGCCGCGUGAGUGAUGAAGGUCUUCGGAUCGUAAAACUCUGUUAUUAGGGAAGAACAUAUGUGUAAGUAACUGUGCACAUCUUGACGGUACCUAAUCAGAAAGCCACGGCUAACUACGUG